rnacentral:rRNA from 3 species
AGUUACGAUUUGAUGCAAGGUUAAGCAGUAAAUGUGGAGCCGUAGCGAAAGCGAGUCUGAAUAGGGCGUUUAGUAUUUGGUCGUAGACCCGAAACCAGGUGAUCUACCCUUGGUCAGGUUGAAGUUCAGGUAACACUGAAUGGAGGACCGAACCGACUUACGUUGAAAAGUGAGCGGAUGAACUGAGGGUAGCGGAGAAAUUCCAAUCGAACCUGGAGAUAGCUGGUUCUCUCCGAAAUAGCUUUAGGGCUAGCCUCAAGUGAUGAUUAUUGGAGGUAGAGCACUGUUUGGACGAGGGGCCCCUCUCGGGUUACCGAAUUCAGACAAACUCCGAAUGCCAAUUAAUUUAACUUGGGAGUCAGAACAUGGGUGAUAAGGUCCGUGUUCGAAAGGGAAACAGCCCAGACCACCAGCUAAGGUCCCAAAAUAUAUGUUAAGUGGAAAAGGAUGUGGCGUUGCCCAGACAACUAGGAUGUUGGCUUAGAAGCAGCCAUCAUUUAAAGAGUGCGUAAUAGCUCACUAGUCGAGUGACACUGCGCCGAAAAUGUACCGGGGCUAAACAUAUUACCGAAGCUGUGGAUUGUCCUUUGGACAAUGGUAGGAGAGCGUUCUAAGGGCGUUGAAGCAUGAUCGUAAGGACAUGUGGAGCGCUUAGAAGUGAGAAUGCCGGUGUGAGUAGCGAAAGACGGGUGAGAAUCCCGUCCACCGAUUGACUAAGGUUUCCAGAGGAAGGCUCGUCCGCUCUGGGUUAGUCGGGUCCUAAGCUGAGGCCGACAGGCGUAGGCGAUGGAUAACAGGUUGAUAUUCCUGUACCACCUAUAAUCGUUUUAAUCGAUGGGGGGACGCAGUAGGAUAGGCGAAGCGUGCGAUUGGAUUGCACGUCUAAGCAGUAAGGCUGAGUAUUAGGCAAAUCCGGUACUCAUUAAGGCUGAGCUGUGAUGGGGAGAAGACAUUGUGUCUUCGAGUCGUUGAUUUCACACUGCCGAGAAAAGCCUCUAGAUAGAAAAUAGGUGCCCGUACCGCAAACCGACACAGGUAGUCAAGAUGAGAAUUCUAAGGUGAGCGAGCGAACUCUCGUUAAGGAACUCGGCAAAAUGACCCCGUAACUUCGGGAGAAGGGGUGCUCUUUAGGGUUAACGCCCAGAAGAGCCGCAGUGAAUAGGCCCAAGCGACUGUUUAUCAAAAACACAGGUCUCUGCUAAACCGUAAGGUGAUGUAUAGGGGCUGACGCCUGCCCGGUGCUGGAAGGUUAAGAGGAGUGGUUAGCUUCUGCGAAGCUACGAAUCGAAGCCCCAGUAAACGGCGGCCGUAACUAUAACGGUCCUAAGGUAGCGAAAUUCCUUGUCGGGUAAGUUCCGACCCGCACGAAAGGCGUAACGAUUUGGGCACUGUCUCAACGAGAGACUCGGUGAAAUCAUAGUACCUGUGAAGAUGCAGGUUACCCGCGACAGGACGGAAAGACCCCGUGGAGCUUUACUGUAGCCUGAUAUUGAAAUUCGGCACAGCUUGUACAGGAUAGGUAGGAGCCUUUGAAACGUGAGCGCUAGCUUACGUGGAGGCGCUGGUGGGAUACUACCCUAGCUGUGUUGGCUUUCUAACCCGCACCACUUAUCGUGGUGGGAGACAGUGUCAGGCGGGCAGUUUGACUGGGGCGGUCGCCUCCUAAAAGGUAACGGAGGCGCUCAAAGGUUCCCUCAGAAUGGUUGGAAAUCAUUCAUAGAGUGUAAAGGCAUAAGGGAGCUUGACUGCGAGACCUACAAGUCGAGCAGGGUCGAAAGACGGACUUAGUGAUCCGGUGGUUCCGCAUGGAAGGGCCAUCGCUCAACGGAUAAAAGCUACCCCGGGGAUAACAGGCUUAUCUCCCCCAAGAGUUCACAUCGACGGGGAGGUUUGGCACCUCGAUGUCGGCUCAUCGCAUCCUGGGGCUGUAGUCGGUCCCAAGGGUUGGGCUGUUCGCCCAUUAAAGCGGUACGCGAGCUGGGUUCAGAACGUCGUGAGACAGUUCGGUCCCUAUCCGUCGUGGGCGUAGGAAAUUUGAGAGGAGCUGUCCUUAGUACGAGAGGACCGGGAUGGACAUACCUCUGGUGUACCAGUUGUCGUGCCAACGGCAUAGCUGGGUAGCUAUGUGUGGACGGGAUAAGUGCUGAAAGCAUCUAAGCAUGAAGCCCCCCUCAAGAUGAGAUUUCCCAACUUCGGUUAUAAGAUCCCUCAAAGAUGAUGAGGUUAAUAGGUUCGAGGUGGAAGCAUGGUGACAUGUGGAGCUGACGAAUACUAAUCGAUCGAAGACUUAAUCAA